rnacentral:rRNA from 1 species
AGUGAACGCUGGCGGUAGGCCUAACACAUGCAAGUCGAACGGCAGCACAGAGGAGCUUGCUCCUUGGGUGGCGAGUGGCGGACGGGUGAGGAAUACAUCGGAAUCUACUCUGUCGUGGGGGAUAACGUAGGGAAACUUACGCUAAUACCGCAUACGACCUACGGGUGAAAGCAGGGGAUCUUCGGACCUUGCGCGAUUGAAUGAGCCGAUGUCGGAUUAGCUAGUUGGCGGGGUAAAGGCCCACCAAGGCAACGAUCCGUAGCUGGUCUGAGAGGAGGAUCAGCCACACUGGAACUGAGACACGGGCCAGACUCCUACGGGAGGCAGCAGUGGGGAAUAUUGGACAAUGGGCGCAAGCCUGAUCCAGCCAUACCGCGUGGGUGAAGAAGGCCUUCGGGUUGUAAAGCCCUUUUGUUGGGAAAGAAAUCCAUCUGGUUAAUACCCGGGUGGGAUGACGGUACCCAAAGAAUAAGCACCGGCUAACUUCGUGCCAGCCGCCGCCGUAA